rnacentral:rRNA from 1 species
CGAUCAGUAGCUGGUCUGAGAGGACGAUCAGCCACACUGGAACUGAGACACGGUCCAGACUCCUACGGGAGGCAGCAGUGAGGAAUAUUGGUCAAUGGGGGAAACCCUGAACCAGCGACGCCGCGUGAAGGAUGAAGGGGCUUUGCCUUGUAAACUUCUGUCGGGAGGGAAGAAAAGCCGGGUCGCCCGGCUGGGACUGUACCUCCAAGGGAAGGGUCGGCUAACUACGUGCCAGCAGCCGCGGUAAUACGUAGGACCCAAGCGUUGUCCGGAUUUACUGGGUGUAAAGGGUGCGUAGGCGGAUUCGUGCGUCAGAGGUUAAAUACCCCGGCUUAACCGGGGAAAUGCCUUUGAUACGGCGGAUCUUGAGUGUGAGAGAGGAUGGUAGAAUUCCUGGUGUAGCGGUGAAAUGCGUAGAUAUCAGGAGGAAUACCCGUGGUGAAGACGGCCAUCUGGCUCAUUACUGACACUCAGGCACGAAAGCGUGGGGAGCAAACAGGAUUAGAUACCCUGGUAGUCCACGCCUUAAACGAU